rnacentral:rRNA from 4 species
AAAUUGAAGAGUUUGAUCAUGGCUCAGAUUGAACGCUGGCGGCAGGCCUAACACAUGCAAGUCGAACGGUAACAGGAAGCAGCUUGCUGCUUCGCUGACGAGUGGCGGACGGGUGAGUAAUGUCUGGGAAACUGCCUGAUGGAGGGGGAUAACUACUGGAAACGGUGGCUAAUACCGCAUAACGUCGCAAGACCAAAGAGGGGGACCUUCGGGCCUCUUGCCAUCAGAUGUGCCCAGAUGGGAUUAGCUUGUUGGUGAGGUAACGGCUCACCA